rnacentral:tRNA from 1 species
AUCUUUCUAGUAUUAAAAACAAGUAUUUGUGACUUCCACUCACCCGGUCUUGGUUAAAUUCCAAGGAAAGUUA